CCCUGGAAUGACCAUAUGUUUGACGUCCAAUAGCCGAUGAUAAGAUAAAAACUCAAUGUGCUCUAGUGGCGUCGUUAAAUAAAACAAACUUUUUUUAUAUAUUGGUGUUUUAGGUAGUUUUAUUCUAUUCUUUUUCAGGAUGGACACUUUCUUGCGCAAACGAGGGAUUGAUGACCGAACAAUCGAUAAGCUGAAAGAGGAUAAGAUUGACGAGGAUGUAGCACGGCUAAUGGAUGAUGAACAACUAACACAGUAUCUAUCAAAACCUGGGGAUAUUAUAGCAUUGAGACAUUUUUUAAAACCAUCCGUCCCGGACCAAACACGUAUCAGGAAGCACAGUUUGAUGGAACAACUGAAUAUGAAUCUUCUGAUACCUAAACACCAUCAUGAACAUCAACGGUUUCGUCAUUAUUGAUAAAGUAUUGGAGAUGUUUUCAGAUCUGUUUUGACAGCCAUCUUGGACGCCAUUUUGAAUAUUUCAAAAUAUUCAAGGAUACCAAAUUGCAACUCUCGAAUCCUUGAUCAACACUUACGACAGAUGCAAAAACCACAAAGAACAUUGUGGAGACCGAUCUACAAGGUUUAUAAGUACCGGUACUUUAGUAAACACUAAAAUACGGAUUUCUCAGAUUUUUCUACCACCUGAAUGAUUUAUGUUAAAAAGUGUGAUAACUAGGUAAAGCUACCCUAUUGAAAAGUUCAUUUUUGUUUCGUCCUAGAGUGUAUAAAAACAGUUUUGUUUGGUGCCCUCGGAUGGUACCAAAUUUUGGUCUGACUCAUGGACUAUAUGAAGUAAUAAAUUACAUUUAUUUUAUUUUUCAGGCAACCUUAGAUGAUAUUAGAUCAACGUGGAACCGCCAUCGCAUACGUCCCUACAGACAACGCUUGCUGAACAGUGGGCGGCCCUGGAUCAUGCACACGAUGCCGUCCUUCUACGGGACAAGGAAUUAUGCAAUUAGUGUUGAUCAACGUGAUAUCCAAGCAUGCAAAGAAGAAGCCACAAUCAGACGUAGGGCACCAUGUUGUGAAUUGAUAAAUGACUUGUGUCUUUGCAUAAUGGAAGAACAUGGCAUUGCACUCUCAAACUAUUCGGAUUCGGAAAGCAUACGUGAACUGUACCUGUUCCUCAGGUCAGAUAUAUUGCGAAACCUGUAGAUACUUUGCUAAAGCAAUCUUGCACAUGAAGUAUGUCUUAUAUUAUGACAAUAAAUAUUAUGACAUUU